rnacentral:rRNA from 1 species
UACAGAGGGUGCAAGCGUUAAUCGGAAUUACUGGGCGUAAAGCGAGCGUAGUCGGUUAUUUAAGUCGGAUGUGAAAUCCCCGGGCUCAACCUGGGAAUUGCAUUCGAUACUGGAUAGCUAGAGUUCGGCAGAGGGAAGCGGAAUUUCGGGUGUAGCGGUGAAAUGCGUAGAUAUCCGAAGGAACAUCAGUGGCGAAGGCGGCUUCCUGGACCAGAACUGACGAUCAGGCUCGAAAGCGUGGGGAGCAAACAGG